rnacentral:miRNA from 2 species
CAUGGGUAUGAUACGACCUGGG